CCCUCCCCAACCUCGCUGCAAUGCCCCCUCCCCCGUUUUGACCCCGUCUUCGCUGCUGCUCGUGUCGUGACUCGUGACCUCGUCUCGUGUCCGUCGCCGUCGUGGGUGUGGCUUUGAGCUUCGACUUCCUCAAGAAGAAGACGAGGUCAGCAGCUAGCUCACCGUUUGAACUUCUCUUCCGGUUCCGCCAUCCAAGCCGUCACCUAGCAAGUUAUUGUUGGCCCCCAGCUACUUGGUAUGCAGAAAUUGCAUCUGAUUGAAUGAAUGAAGAUAUGCAGUUAUGUUACGAGAAAAUUAGUUCCUUCUUUAUGUAGUGGGUACUUGGUGAAGUUGGAGACAUCUUAUGUUUUGCCGCUUAAAUGGGCCACUCUAUUGUAGGACGCUUUGUGUAACAAAUCCAAUGGGCCUGAGGUAAUUCAAUUUUGUUCCUAUUCAAUUAUCAAAUGUACUAUGAAGUUCUGGCUUUGUAACUUCCCCUCCUUUCAAAACCCUAUUCAUCAACAACUGCUUAAGCCACUAUCUAAGUUUAUUUACUCCCCAAAAUUUAUACAAACUUAUGCUGCUGUUGUAACCUUUCUCUGCUUUUAUACAAGAAUCUUUACUUCCUACUCAAAGCUCCCAUCACAUGUGUUACUUCUGAGUUUGUAACCUUAGGUAUGUAAGUUCAUGCCCACAUGACUAAGUUUGGAUCACCUCACGUUCCAAGUCUUAGAAAUCAUUGGACAACAUCGUACUCCCAGUGGCGACAAUUUGGUUAUGCCCAGAAAUUGUUUGAAGAAGGUUCUACUCAAAGUUCCAUAUCUCACUCAAAGCUUUUGUCACAAUGUAUUGCGUCCAAGUCUGUAGCCUCAGGCAUGGUAGUUCAUGCCCACAUGAUUAAGUUCGGAUCAUCUGACAAUCCAAGUCUUAAAAAUUACUUGACAACCUUGUACUCCAAGUCUCGGCAAUUUGGGCAUGCCCGGAAGUUGGUUGAAGAUGGUUCAGAACCAAAUUUGGUUUCUUGGUCUGCUUUGAUAUCUGGAUAUGCACAACAUGGGCUUGGGGAGGAAGCGCUGUUAGCAUUUUUUGAGAUGCGCAUGUUGGGUAUUAAAUGCAAUGAGUUUACCUUUUCAAGUGUUCUUAAGGCGUGCUCAAUCAAGAAAGACUUGAAGUUAGGGAAACUGGUUCAUGCAAUGACAAUAAUCACAGGGUUUGAGUCUGAUGUGUUUGUUACGAAUACUUUGGUUGUUAUGUAUGCAAGAUGUGGGCAGCUUGGUGAUUCUAGGAGACUAUUUGGCUCAAUUAUAGAAUUAAAUGUUGUUUCAUGGAAUGCAUUGCUCUCUUGCUAUGUGCAAAGUGAUUUGGAUAUAGAAGCCAUAGAUUUGUUUAGAGAAAUGGUUCAGAGUGGAAUAAGGCCUAAUGAGUUUAGCCUUUCAAUCAUAAUAAAUGCAUGUGCUGGAUUGCAAGAUGGCGAUCACGGGAGGACUGUUCAUGGGCAUUUGCUGAAGUUGGGAUACAAUCUAGAUCUAUUUUCUGCAAAUGCUCUAGUUGACAUGUAUUCAAAAGCAGGGGACAUUGAAGAUGCAAUGGCAGUUUUCCGAGAAAUUACACAUCCUGAUAUUAUUUCUUGGAAUGCAAUUAUUGCUGGUUGUGUUCUUCAUGAGUGUCAUGAUUGGGCUUUAACAUUGUUUGGUGAGAUGAAAAGUUCAGGAACUUGUCCCAAUAUGUUUACCAUAUCAAGUGCUCUAAAGGCCUGUGCUGCAAUAGGGUUCAAGGACUUGGGUAGACAGUUGCACUCUAGUUUGAUAAAGACAGAUAUUGAUUCAGAUUCGUUUGUGGGAGCCGGACUAGUAGACAUGUACUCCAAAUGUGAAAUGAUGGAUGAUGCAACGAGAGCUUAUGACUUAAUGGUAAAAAAGGAGUUGGUUGCAGGGAAUGCUUUGAUCUCUGGUUACUCACAGUGUGGAGAAGACUUAAAAGCAGUGUCCAUUUUUGCUGAACUGUGCAAGGAGGAUGUAGUUUAUAACCAAACUACUUUGUCAACAGUUCUCAAAUCUGUGGCUAGCAUACAGGCACUUGAUGCAUGCAGGCAAAUUCAUACUCUUUCCAUCAAAUCUGGACUUUAUUCAGAUUUCUAUGUGAUAAAUAGUCUUCUUGAUGCAUACGGAAAAUGUAAUCAUAUUGAUGAAGCUUCAAAAAUUUUUGAAGAACGCACAUGUGAAGAUUUGGUGGCUUAUACAUCCAUGAUAACAGCAUAUUCUCAAGAUGGCGAUGGAGAAGAGGCUUUAAAACUCUAUUUGCGAAUGCAAAAUGCAGAUAUCAAGCCAGAUUCAUUUGUCUGUAGUUCUCUUUUGAAUGCCUGUGCAAAUUUGUCGGCAUAUGAGCAAGGGAAACAAUUACAUGUUCAUGCCCUCAAGUUUGGAUUUCUAUCUGAUAUUUUUGCAAGCAAUUCCCUUGUUAAUAUGUAUGCAAAAUGUGGAAGCAUAGAAGAUGCUAGUCGUGUUUUUUCUGAGAUACCUCAAAGAGGAAUAGUCUCAUGGUCUGCAAUGAUUGGAGGGUUGGCACAACAUGGCCAUGGGAAAGAGGCUCUUCAAUUAUUCGGUCAAAUGCUUGAAGAAGGUGUGAGUCCCAAUCAAAUAACAUUAGUUAGUGUUCUUUGUGCAUGUAAUCAUGCUGGUCUGGUAAAUGAGGGGAAACAAUACUUUGAAAAAAUGGAGGAUAUGUUUGGGGUUAAACCAAUGCAAGAGCAUUAUGCUUGCAUGAUUGAUCUUCUUGGUCGAGCAGGAAAAUUAACUGAAGCAAUUGAGCUUGUAAGUUCCAUGCCAUUUGAAGCUGAUGGAUCAGUUUGGGGGGCACUUCUUGGAGCUGCAAGAAUUCAUAAGAAUGUAGAACUUGGUCAACAAGCUGCUGAGAUGCUUUUGGCUAUUGAACCUGAGAAAUCUGGUACCCAUGUUCUUCUUGCAAACAUCUAUGCAUCCACAGGGAUGUGGGAAAAUGUUGCAAAGGUUAGAAAGCUUAUGAAGGAAAGCAAGGUGAAGAAGGAGCCUGGAAUGAGUUGGAUCGAGGUCAAGGACAAAGUGUACACCUUCAUUGUUGGAGAUAGAAGCCAUUAUAUGAGUGCUGAAAUAUAUGCUAAACUGGAUGAGCUUUGUGGCCUUCUAAGUAAAGCUGGUUAUAUUCCCAUCAUAGAUAUUGAUCUACAUAAUGUCAACCAAAGUGAAAAGGAGCAACUCUUAUUUCACCAUAGCGAGAAACUUGCUGUAGUCUUUGGGUUAAUUGCUACACCUCCUGGCUCCCCAAUAAGGGUUAAGAAGAAUCUACGAGUCUGUGUGGACUGCCACACCUUUUUCAAGUUUUUAUGUAAACUUGUUUCAAGGGAAAUUAUUAUCAGAGAUGUUAAUAGAUUCCAUCAUUUUGAAAACGGUUCAUGUUCAUGUGGUGAUUACUGGUAAUAACAUCAAGAUGGUUCAUUCUUUCAUUCUCAUAAAGCACGCUGAUACCUUAUGUGCUACUACCAUCCUCUUAACCAAAUUUGAUGCAUCAAAGACAACUCUGCCGUGCACAGCUACAAGGUGUGAUGCAGAGUUUUGAUGGUACUUGAGAAGCAGUGUCUGUCACUUUGGCCUUUGUUUGGUUCAUAGAAAAAUCGGCCAAAUGAAAGGGUAGAUUGGUUCCUUUCCAUCACAUGGCGUGUUUGCCGGCAUUAAAAAAAGCUGCAUUUUCAUUUGGUAGCCAACAUUGCUUUGCACAUAGGAAGCCAAAAACCUUCACAUAUUGGUAGGAAUAUACACUCUUCUGGAUGAAAAAGGAAUGCACAGAAAGAACAAAAUUCAUUCAUCUCUCCCAUCUCUGCCAACAAAACUGAAACUGAAGGCCACCUCUCCUGGAACCAAAGGGCCAUAACCGUUGAUCAGUGAUGAGCAACAAGUGACUGUUGAAAAUGAAGAUCCAAAUGCCUUAUUCCUCUCAUCCAUUAUGCUUUUUGACAUCGCUCUCAAAAUAGGAAAUGAUGACAGGGUCGCAGAGUUGCAGAUUUGCAGAAGAGACAAGAAAGAAUGGAGUGAGAGAGAUGGAGAUUGAGGAAAGUGAACAAAAGAGAUGAACGGGAGAAAAUGAAAUCAAGAGAGAGGAACCAAGGAAAAUGAGAAGAAGAAAAGUGGAGGAAGAAUAGGCAGGAGCCAUUGGGGAUGUGAGAUUUUAGUAAGGUAUGCUCACUUCAUCAAUUUAAUCCGUUCGAAGAUUGUUGGGAUCAUGACUGAUUUAUUUUUAUUCCCAAAUUUUGUCACUGAAAUCCUUCAUUCCAAACAAAGCCCUUAAAAUUAAACUCUGUUAACUCCAGGGUCAGCUAUUUCUUAUCAUUUCAUUUAUCAUAGAACAGAUUUUCAGGUUGUUAUUUGGAGGUGUAGAAUCAUGACAAUGAUAUGUUUUCCAUUUGUGGCCUGUGCUGUGAUAUGCUAUCAAAGUUACAUUGUAUCUUUAACUUGUUAAAUUGUUUCAAGAGCUUGAUUAUUUAGUUGGACAUUUGUAUGUAGAAAUUACUUUGUUAUGCAUUAUAUUCAUUAGCAUAUGCAUUCAAUAUUCGUUACAAACCAAAAUAAAUAAAAGGACUAUACAAUUGAGAGCUAAUCCCCUCGAUACUCGGUUACACCUUCCUUUCUCUUGCUCCUAUCGGA